rnacentral:lncRNA from 1 species
UGAGAAUGGAUAAUGUUUAUUUCAAAUUAUCAAAUGAUAACAAGAAUGUCUGCUUGCCAUGCAUUCUUAAACAUAAUGUUCUUUCUGUUCUGCUGAAAGAGAAUCAAUAUAAUUGAACUCCAUCACAUAGUUGAAUUGCUGUUGUUGUUUUUUUUUUUUUUUUCUUGCACUGUGUACAGACCUAGAGCAUGCAAACAUUUUCCCUUAUGGCAGUCCCAAGCUACCUGAUUCCUUUUUUAUAUGCUGAGGAAGCAGCUGUAGGAAAUGUCACAGUUCAUUUUUGGGAAAUUGCACUCCUGACCAGAAAUCAAAUCAAGCAGCGAAUAAUGUAGUAUUAUUGGCUUGUUUUUUGCCUCUCUCUUGCCUGCACUGUGCUUGCCUCUACUUCAGAGAUUCUAUGAUUCAGUCUGAUGCUGGGUCUCAGUGCAGCUGUGGUGCUUUUAUGCUGGGAACUUAUUCCCCUGGAAAGCAGCCUACAAAAGGCUUCAAGAAGGAACAGAAAAUGUUGCCAGAACCAAAAUAAGAAAGUUCAUUUGAUAAUGUUAAGGAAAUGUUGAAUAUAAUGCAAUGAAAAGAAGAAAAGCCAGACUCUUUUGAAUGUUGCCCAGUGAUAAAGCAGAAUGCAGCAGGCACAAAUUGGAACAAAAGAGGUUCCAUCCAAGCAUGAAGGAGCAUAUCUGUACUGUGUGGUUGAUGGAAUACUAGAGCAGGUUUUCCGGGACAUGGUGGAAUCUCCAUCCUUGGAGUUAUUCAAGAGACACAUAGGCAUGGUCCUGGGCAGCCUGUUCUAGGCGCUCUGCUUGAGCAGGGAAAUUGGACCAGAUGUCCUCCAGAGGUCCCUUCCCACCUAAGUCAAUCUAUGACUCUGUGAUACCACAGAAAUUUACCAUUUGUAAGAUGAAAAUGGAGAUUAGAAUGUAUUUCUGUUGGAAGAUUUAGGACUUCUGUAGUAUUAUAUUAUAUGUUUCAAAAACUUUUUUAGUCAGGAUCAGUUCUAGUUUUGCUGUAUAAUUUGUGGACUUUCCAAGUUCAAUUUUUGUUUUUCACUUGUUUUCACCCACUGAAGUAUGAGAGCUGAUACAAAAGUAAUGUCUCCUAUUUUAUUAUUUUGUACCACAACAUCAGAGGUGAAUGUUGGUGGGAUGGCAGUAGAGGUUGAAUCUUCCCACUGUUAUAUCUUGUUGCCAUGAAACAGAUGUCAGCAGAGGAGCAGUCUGACAAAAUGCGAUCUGACAUAGACUUGUAGAUGAAGGGAAGGUAUGUUAUUGAAUUCCUCCAUGCAAAAAAAUAUUUCACCACUAACAUUCAUUGAUGCUUACUGAAAAUUUAUGGAGACCAAAUAGUUAUGUGAGCACAUUUAGGCUCUUGUUUGUCAGUAAGAAAGCAUAACUAACAAUGGUGACCUUGUUGAAAAAUAGUUUAUGUAGCUAAGAAUUUGCUCUGUCAAAUAGUAUUUGUUUUGACAAUUCUGAAAGGGAAAUUUUUGUUGAAAAUUUUGGAGUAAGUAAUUCCUGAAUGAGUAAAGUGAAACAUAGAUACCAGAUUUCAAAAUAUUUAGAUGGGUACAAAAUUCA